GACGAAUGCUGGCGGCGUGCUUAACACAUGCAAGUCGAACGGAAAGGCUUUGCUCUUGCGGGGUGCUCGUGUGGCGAACGGGGGUGUAUAAUGCGAGUAAACCGUCCCCGUGUCUGGGAUAUAAUCAGGAAACACGGGCUAUUAUACGAUAUAAGCCAUUCCACUACGGGGGGGUGUGGAAAGAUUGGGUGGUUGGGGAUGGACUCGCGGCUUAUCAGCUUGUUGGUGGGGUAGUGGCUUACCAAGGCAUUGACGGGUAGCCGGCCUGAGAGGGUGACCGGCCACACUGGGACUGAGAUACGGCCCAGACUCCUACGGGAGGCAGCAGUGGGGAAUAUUGCACAAUGGGCGGAAGCCUGAUGCAGCGACGCCGCGUGCGGGAUGACGGCCUUCGGGUUGUAAACCGCUUUCACCUGUGACGAAGCGAGAGUGACGGUAAUUGGUGAAGAAGCGCCGGCUAACUACGUG
rnacentral:rRNA from 1 species